CUAACGGUGUGCUCGGCAAUGCGCUCUCAUCUUAGUCACCCUCCUGCUUAAGUGAGUCCGUCUUGACUCCCUGGACGCUGGAGCCUUUCUUCCUGACAGCAGGGGCAGUUUGGACACAGAGGUGGACAUGCACACAGGGAGAACGCCGGGUGAAAAUGAAGACAGAGAUUGAUGUCUGUACAAGCUGCAGGACACCAAGAACUGCCAACAAGCCACCGGAAGUGAGGAGAGAGGCAAGGAACAGAUUCUCCUGGUAGAGUCCUCACAAAGAACUAAUCUCUGCUGAUACCUUGAUUUUGGAUUUCUGGCCUCCAGAACUGUGAGACAAUAAAUCUCGGUUGCUUUAAGCACCCCA